GACGAACGCUGGCGGCGUGCUUAACACAUGCAAGUCGAACGGAAGGCCCUGCUUUUGUGGGGUGCUCGAGUGGCGAACGGGUGAGUAACACGUGAGUAACCUGCCCUUGACUUUGGGAUAACUUCAGGAAACUGGGGCUAAUACCGGAUAGGAGCUCCUGCUGCAUGGUGGGGGUUGGAAAGUUUCGGCGGUUGGGGAUGGACUCGCGGCUUAUCAGCUUGUUGGUGGGGUAGUGGCUUACCAAGGCUUUGACGGGUAGCCGGCCUGAGAGGGUGACCGGCCACAUUGGGACUGAGAUACGGCCCAGACUCCUACGGGAGGCAGAAGUGGGGAAUAUUGCACAAUGGGCGGAAGCCUGAUGCAGCAACGCCGCGUGCGGGAUGACGGCCUUCGGGUUGUAAACCGCUUUCGCCUGUGACGAAGCGUGAGUGACGGUAAUGGGUAAAGAAGCACCGGCUAACUACGUG
rnacentral:rRNA from 1 species